UACGGAGGGUGCAAGCGUUAUCCGGAUUCACUGGGUUUAAAGGGUGCGUAGGAGGGCAGGGAAGUCAGUGGUGAAAUCUCCGGGCUUAACUCGGAAACUGCCGUUGAUACUCUCUGUCUUGAAUACCGUGGAGGUGAGCGGAAUAUGUCAUGUAGCGGUGAAAUGCUUAGAUAUGACAUAGAACACCAAUUGCGAAGGCAGCUCACUACACGCAUAUUGACUCUGAGGCACGAAAGCGUGGGGAUCAAACAGG
rnacentral:rRNA from 1 species